GAAAUCUCUGCAAUUGCUGGGAAACUCUUAUUUUUAAGAGAAAAUACCAUGCAGUGGCAGGUGGAAGGGCCUCAGCUGGGAGCGGGGCUGCAAGGGCAGCGGUAUCCAGCAGUGCCCAGCAGUGCCAGUGAUGCCCAGUGGUGCCCAGUGACACACAGGAGCGCCCAGUGACACCCAGUGGUGCCCACUAGUGCCUAGUGAUGCCCAGCGAUGCCCAGUGAUGCCCAGCGGUGCCCAGUAGUACCCAGUGACACCCAGAAGUGCCCAGUGACACCCGGGAGUGCCCAGUGAUGCCCAGCGGUGCCCCCUUGCAGCCCAGGUGUGGGAUUCAGUCAUGUUUUCCAUCUCUCUAGCACGGUGGCGGGGAGGCGUGGGGCCUUGGGCCGGGGCUGGGCCUCUGCACCGCGAUCCAGACUCUGGGCCUGAUCGGCGCCCUGGGGGCCGCGGCCGUGGCUCCGGGCCCGGUGCGGCGCAGGAGGCCGGCGCGCAGCGCCUCCGGCCCCUCUCAUUCGCUCUGUACCCCAGCAGGCAGCGAAGGCGGCCGGUGAAGGCCCCCCCGGGGCGGAGGAGGGCGGCGGAGGGCGGCAGCGGCUCCAGCCCGGCCCGGCCCGGCCCGGCGGGCACCUCGGCGCUCCCGGGCAGCCGCGGCGGCGGGAGGAGAGGGCCCGGCCAGGCCUGCGUCGCCAUGGCGACAGCGCAGGGCCGCUGGCAUGGCGGAGCAGGCGGGGAACGGCGAGGGCAAACGCAUUCUCUACAGCAAGCCCAGGCAGUGGUUGCAGUUCCACUGGGGCUUCAUGCUGACAUACUUUGCCAUCUGCAUCCCCCGGCUUUAAGAAGUACAGCGCACCUCUGGGCAGGGCAAGCAAAAAGGAUCCUGAUGACGCAGUAGCUGAAAUUGAGAAAAAGAUUAUAGAAGCUUUUGAGGUGUUUGACCAUGAAUGCAAUCAAACUGUGGAUGUCAGGCAAUCUAUUUUUCUGCCAAGUGUACUGAUGAAGAAACCACAGGAGUUUGAAUCAUGGGAACCACCAGCACUGUGGAUACUUAAGUCAAAUGUGCUUGCAUUUCUGUGUUAUAGAAUUGGACUGAAAAUCAC